UACGGAGGGGGCGAGCGUUGUUCGGAAUCACUGGGUGUAAAGGGUGCGUAGGUGGCGCUGUAAGUCGGGUGUGAAAUUUCGGAGCUUAACUCCGAAACUGCAUUCGAUACUGCGGUGCUUGAGGACUGGAGAGGAGACUGGAAUUCAUGGUGUAGCAGUGAAAUGCGUAGAGAUCAUGAGGAAGACCAGUGGCGAAGGCGGGUCUCUGGACAGUUCCUGACACUGAGGCACGAAGGCCAGGGGAGCAAACGGG
rnacentral:rRNA from 1 species